rnacentral:rRNA from 1 species
GAUGAACGCUGGCGGCGUGCCUAAUACAUGCAAGUCGAGCGAACGGACGAGAAGCUUACUUCUCUGAUGUUAGCGGCGGACGGGUGAGUAACACGUGGAUAACCUACCUAUAAGACUGGGAUAACUUCGGGAAACCGGAGCUAAUACCGGAUAAUAUUUUGAACCGCAUGGUUCAAAAGUGAAAGACGGUCUUGCUGUUACUUAUAGAUGGAUCCGCGCUGCAUUAGCUAGUUGGUAAGGUAACGGCUUACCAAGGCAACGAUGCAUAGCCGACCUGAGAGGGUGAUCGGCCACACUGGAACUGAGACACGGUCCAGACUCCUACGGGAGGCAGCAGUAGGGAAUCUUCCGCAAUGGGCGAAAGCCUGACGGAGCAACGCCGCGUGAGUGAUGAAGGUCUUCGGAUCGUAAAACUCUGUUAUUAGGGAAGAACAUAUGUGUAAGUAACUGUGCACAUCUUGACGGUACCUAAUCAGAAAGCCACGGCUAACUACGUG